rnacentral:lncRNA from 1 species
AUAUAUAUAUAUAUAGGUGAUGGAUGACUCUAAGUACAAGUCUGAAUCCUCACUGUUUCCUGCAUCAGUAAUAACCUUUUUUAACUGCUCCUUUGUCAGCUACUUGAGUGAGAAAAAGCUACUAGAAGGUUUUAAAUCAAACAGCUAACACUACAUGGCUAAAUUGGCUAGUAAACGAGUUGCUUAAUAGGAAAGCAUAGUAACACGUGAUAAAUGUUGUGAACAUGUAAACAGAUACAUUUAAUUAUGGUUGUCCAACAUCUAAUGCAUACAACAUUUGCAAUUUGAAGUUCUGUAGCCUAUAAACGAUAUGGAAAGGAUUUUUCAUUAUCACCUUAUUAGACAUUUUGCAUGUAUAUUAAUAUUAAGUAAUCAGCAAAGUACAGUUUAGUUUCUUACCUUGACUUCUCCAGUUAUCCUAUCAAAUAACCACAAAUUAGUAACUGAAAUACAUAAAUUAAGAUUGGUAUGGAAGCUUUACAAUCUUCAGAAAGUCAUGUAACAUGGGGAAUCCAACUAUAUUUUGAUAAAUAUGACAGAUUAUGUGACCCUAAUAAUAACCCGUGACAACAAUGUUGUUUUGUUGUUAGGCAAUAUUAAAAUAAGAUUAGAAUCGAGUAAAAAUGUUAAUAAACAAUCAAAACAUGAUUUAACCUCAUAAAACAAACCAACAAAAUAUAAUAUGGUAAACCUAAUACACUCAAACCAUGACUAAUCCAAGAGUUUGACCAGAGUUAUUUUAUUACUAAAUUAAGUGCAAAUCAACAGAAGAGAAACAAGAAACACAAUAAUCAUUAUGUGAUUAAAUCUUCCACAAAAAGAGAUUUGAGUAAAACAUCGUGAUCUGAUAAAAUUGGUUAUUCAUAAGAACACAUUCUGAAACAAGCGAUACCAAACACGCUAAAUCAGAUUUUACAGUGAAAAAAAAAUCAAUAAAAAGAUAGAGAAGAAAACCUUUAUGAAACGGUCAACAAAACUACAGGAAAACUAUGCAGUUUCCUUCUGUUUUUAAGUUGCAAUACAGCUUGUGUAGUUAGAAAACUAGAGUAUGCUUCGAUUUUUCUCGUAUCCAUACAUACAGAGGAGAUUACAACAUCUGAAAUAUAGAAAACCCUAGAGAACUAAAAUAAGAGGGAAAAGGAAUGAAAACUUAAAGAUAACUUCUUAGGAUUACCGACAUGGUUGUGAGAAUCUUACGAAGGGUGGGGGUGCUUGUGUCUCCGGUGAGCUGAGUUACAGAGGUCGCGACGAUGAGUCGUCUCCGACGGUGUUUGGAGAAAGAAGCGGGAUGAAUGAAGUGAAGAAGGAAGAGUGGAGAAGGUAAUAAUUUAUGGGCUAAUACACC